ACUCCAAUCUGCUUAUAAAUUUGACUUAUAGAUUUAUAGAUUUAUGAUAAAACAUCUACCGAUUUAAGAUGUAUACACUCACAUAUGAUGUCUGGUCACCAAUGUUCGAAUAUUUACAAAUUAAUGCUAUCAAUAUAGAGCGAUUGAUUUAAUACAAUAAGGUUACUGUGAUUUCAGUAGCGAGUUACAACUAGAUCGAACGAGCAAAAUGUUGCAAUUGAAGCUUUUUUUUGAAAUUCUUGCUACCCCG